AUGAACGCUAGCUACAGGCUUAACACAUGCAAGUCGAGGGGCAUCAGGAAGAAAGCUUGCUUUCUUUGCUGGCGACCGGCGCACGGGUGAGUAACACGUAUCCAACCUGCCCUUUACUCGGGGAUAGCCUUUCGAAAGAAAGAUUAAUACCCGAUGGCAUAAUGAUUCCGCAUGGUUUCAUUAUUAAAGGAUUCCGGUAAAGGAUGGGGAUGCGUUCCAUUAGGUUGUUGGUGAGGUAACGGCUCACCAAGCCUUCGAUGGAUAGGGGUUCUGAGAGGAAGGUCCCCCACAUUGGAACUGAGACACGGUCCAAACUCCUACGGGAGGCAGCAGUGAGGAAUAUUGGUCAAUGGGCGCUAGCCUGAACCAGCCAAGUAGCGUGAAGGAUGAAGGCUCUAUGGGUCGUAAACUUCUUUUAUAUAAGAAUAAAGUGCAGUAUGUAUACUGUUUUGUAUGUAUUAUAUGAAUAAGGAUCGGCUAACUCCGUGCCAGCAGCCGCGGUAAUACGGAGGAUCCGAGCGUUAUCCGGAUUUAUUGGGUUUAAAGGGAGCGUAGGUGGACUGGUAAGUCAGUUGUGAAAGUUUGCGGCUCAACCGUAAAAUUGCAGUUGAUACUGUCAGUCUUGAGUACAGUAGAGGUGGGCGGAAUUCGUGGUGUAGCGGUGAAAUGCUUAGAUAGCACGAAGAACUCCGAUUGCGAAGGCAGCUCACUGGACUGCAACUGACACUGAUGCUCGAAAGUGUGGGUAUCAAACAGGAUUAGAUACCCUGGUAGUCCACACAGUAAACGAUGAAUACUCGCUGUUUGCGAUAUACAGUAAGCGGCCAAGCGAAAGCAUUAAGUAUUCCACCUGGGGAGUACGCCGGCAACGGUGAAACUCAAAGGAAUUGACGGGGGCCCGCACAAGCGGAGGAACAUGUGGUUUAAUUCGAUGAUACGCGAGGAACCUUACCCGGGCUUAAAUUGCAGUGGAAUGAUGUGGAAACAUGUCAGUGAGCAAUCACCGCUGUGAAGGUGCUGCAUGGUUGUCGUCAGCUCGUGCCGUGAGGUGUCGGCUUAAGUGCCAUAACGAGCGCAACCCUUAUCUUUAGUUACUAACAGGUCAUGCUGAGGACUCUAGAGAGACUGCCGUCGUAAGAUGUGAGGAAGGUGGGGAUGACGUCAAAUCAGCACGGCCCUUACGUCCGGGGCUACACACGUGUUACAAUGGGGGGUACAGAAGGCAGCUAGCGGGUGACCGUAUGCUAAUCCCAAAAUCCUCUCUCAGUUCGGAUCGAAGUCUGCAACCCGACUUCGUGAAGCUGGAUUCGCUAGUAAUCGCGCAUCAGCCACGGCGCGGUGAAUACGUUCCCGGGCCUUGUACACACCGCCCGUCAAGCCAUGGGAGCCGGGGGUACCUGAAGUACGUAACCGCAAGGAUCGUCCUAGGGUAAAACUGGUGACUGGGGCU
rnacentral:rRNA from 1 species